rnacentral:rRNA from 1 species
AACGAACGCUGGCGGCAUGCCUAACACAUGCAAGUCGAACGAGACCUUCGGGUCUAGUGGCGCACGGGUGCGUAACGCGUGGGAACCUGCCCUUAGGUUCGGAAUAACUCCCCGAAAGGGGUGCUAAUACCGGAUAAUGUCUUCGGACCAAAGAUUUAUCGCCUUUGGAUGGGCCCGCGUUGGAUUAGCUAGUUGGUAGGGUAAAAGCCUACCAAGGCGACGAUCCAUAGCUGGUCUGAGAGGAUGAUCAGCCACACUGGGACCGAGACACGGCCCAGACUCCUACGGGAGGCAGCAGUGGGGAAUAUUGGACAAGGGGCGAAAGCCUGAUCCAGCAAUGCCGCGUGAGUGAUGAAGGCCUUAGGGUUGUAAAGCUCUUUUACCCGGGAUGAUAAUGACAGUACCGGGAGAAUAAGCUCCGGCUAACUCCGUG